rnacentral:tRNA from 2 species
GCGGGGGUGGCGGAAUUGGUAGACGCGCUAGCUUCAGGUGCUAGUGAGCGAAAGCUCGUGGGGGUUCAAGUCCCCCCCUCCGCACCA